GGGGCUUAAAAAAAGAAAAAAGAAAAAAGGGGGAUGGCAAAAUUUUGUACUUUUCGAAGCCUGCAUAUCUACUACAAGCCCUGGCCUUCAUAGGUUUUCAGGGCAGCUUUGAUCUCCAUUUCCAUCGAAACACGCACUGAUGAAUCAGAUCAACGGCUUUAAUUCGCAUUAUUUUUGUUGUUGUUUGUUGUCUUUUUCACAUUCACCAGCCUCCUCCACCCAACCCUCGUCAGAAAAUAAGACCAAUGUCAAAUCUUUGGCAGUCACAGCUCACAGCCUCAUUAUUCAGCGUCCGAUCUGUUGACCAUGGUGCUAUGAUCCUCCUCACGUUAUUGGAUUUCUUUAGUUUUUAAUUGGAGGUAACUGUCAUGAGAACAGGAGUUGACCUAGUCUCUGCGCAAAGAAAGAAAGUCACAAGGGAAAAAGUGAAGCUGCCAGCAUGAUCUAGCUUUGGUUACAGUUAUCAUACAUAUAUCUAUAUAGAUAGUUCAUUGGUAACCCUAGCUAGGUCAUGCUCUGACAGCCUCACUCCUUCCCAUUUGGGACCCAAAAUACAUAGUAGCCAACCACUCCAACUUUGAAAGAAGAAAGCAGUAUAAAGCAGGCAUGAGAAAUCACUGGAACCGACUGCCUAACAGUAAAAGGAAGGAGGACAGCAAGAGAAAAUUAUGCUGAACAAGGAUCUGAAGGCAACCGCAGGAAAUUUAUUAGUGCACAAACAUUGUAAAUAUUUUAUAUACAUUCAUUUCUAUGUUUUGCACAAACAUUGUAAAAAUUUGGAGGAGGUUUUGGCCCAGUCAAUUCGCAGUUAAGUUACCCUGAUUU